rnacentral:rRNA from 1 species
CGCGUAGGCGGACUGUUAAGUCGGGGGUGAAAUCCCGGGGCUCAACCCCGGAACUGCCCUCGAUACUGGCAGUCUUGAGUUCGAGAGAGGUGAGUGGAAUUCCGAGUGUAGAGGUGAAAUUCGUAGAUAUUCGGAAGAACACCAGUGGCGAAGGCGGCUCACUGGCUCGAUACUGACGCUGAGGUGCGAAAGUGUGGGGAGCAAACA